AUUGAACGCUGGCGGCAGGCCUAACACAUGCAAGUCGAACGAGUGGCGGACGGGUGAGUAAUGUCUGGGAAACUGCCCGAUGGAGGGGGAUAACAACUGGAAACGGUAGCUAAUACCGCAUACCAUCGGAUGUGCCCAGAUGGGAUUAGCUAGUAGGUGGGGUAACGGCGCACCUAGGCGACGAGCCCUAGCUGGUCUGAGAGGAUGACCAGCCACACUGGAACUGAGACACGGUCCAGACUCCUACGGGAGGCAGCAGUGGGGAAUAUUGCACAAUGGGCGCAAGACUGAUCCAGCCAUGCCGCGUGUAUGAAGAAGGCCUUCGGGUUGUAAAGUACUGUCAGCGGGGAGGCGUUACCCGCAGAAAAAGCACCGGCUAACUCCGUGCCAGCAGCCGCGGUAAUUC
rnacentral:rRNA from 1 species